GAGUUUGAUCCUGGCUCAGGACGAACGCUGGCGGCGUGCUUAACACAUGCAAGUCGAACGGAGAUUAUUAAUGAAGCUUGCGAUUUAAUAAUCUUAGUGGCGGACGGGUGAGUAACGCGUGGGCAACCUACCCAUAAGCGGGGGAUAACAGUCGGAAACGACUGCUAAUACCGCAUAAGCUAUUAAGGUCGCAUGACCUAAAUAGUAAAGGUGGCAUUUUAACAGUGCUAUCACUUAUGGAUGGGCCCGCGUCUGAUUAGCUAGUUGGUGGGGUAGCAGCCUACCAAGGCAACGAUCAGUAGCCGGCCUGAGAGGGUGGACGGCCACACUGGGACUGAGACACGGCCCAGACUCCUACGGGAGGCAGCAGUGGGGAAUAUUGCGCAAUGGGGGAAACCCUGACGCAGCGACGCCGCGUGAGCGAAGAAGGCCUUAGGGUCGUAAAGCUCUGUUGUAAGAGACGAAUGUUUGUCUGGCGAACAGCCAGAUAAAGUGACGGUACCUUACCAGCAAGCCCCGGCUAACUACGUGCCAGCAGCCGCGGUA
rnacentral:rRNA from 1 species